rnacentral:tRNA from 1 species
GGCCUGAUAGCUCAAUUGGAAAGAGCUUCUCCUUCGCAAGGUUUUCGUUCUGGGUUCGAGUCCCAGUCAGGCCA